UGCAGUCGAACGAUGAAGCUCCAGCUUGCUGGGGUGGAUUAGUGGCGAACGGGUGAGUAACACGUGAGUAACCUGCCCUUGACUCUGGGAUAAGCCUUGGAAACGGGGUCUAAUACCGGAUAGGAGCAUUCACCGCAUGGUGGGUGUUGGAAAGAAUUUCGGUCUUGGAUGGACUCGCGGCCCAUCAGCUUGUUGGUGAGGUAAUGGCUCACCAAGGCGACGACGGGUAGCCGGCCUGAGAGGGUGACCGGCCACACUGGGACUGAGACACGGCCCAGACUCCUACGGGAGGCAGCAGUGGGGAAUAUUGCACAAUGGGCGCAAGCCUGAUGCAGCGACGCCGCGUGAGGGAUGACGGCCUUCGGGUUGUAAACCUCUUUCAGUAGGGAAGAAGCGAAAGUGACGGUACCUGCAGAAGAAGCACCGGCUAACUACGUGCCAGCAGCCGCGGUAAUACGUAGGGUGCGAGCGUUAUCCGGAAUUAUUGGGCGUAAAGAGCUCGUAGGCGGUUUGUCGCGUCUGCCGUGAAAGUCCGGGGCUUAACUCCGGAUCUGCGGUGGGUACGGGCAGACUAGAGUGCAGUAGGGGAGACUGGAAUUCCUGGUGUAGCGGUGGAAUGCGCAGAUAUCAGGAGGAACACCGAUGGCGAAGGCAGGUCUCUGGGCUGUAACUGACGCUGAGGAGCGAAAGCAUGGGGAGCGAACAGGAUUAGAUACCCUGGUAGUCCAUGCCGUAAACGUUGGGCACUAGGUGUGGGGGCCAUUCCACGGUUUCCGCGCCGCAGCUAACGCAUUAAGUGCCCCGCCUGGGGAGUACGGCCGCAAGGCUAAAACUCAAAGGAAUUGACGGGGGCCCGCACAAGCGGCGGAGCAUGCGGAUUAAUUCGAUGCAACGCGAAGAACCUUACCAAGGCUUGACAUGUUCUCGUUCGCCGUAGAGAUACGGUUUCCCCUUUGGGGCGGGUUCACAGGUGGGUGCAUGGUUGUCGUCAGCUCGUGUCCUGAGAUGUUUGGGUUAAGUCCCGCAACGAGCGCAAC
rnacentral:rRNA from 1 species